UACGUAGGGGGCAAGCGUUGUCCGGAUUCAUUGGGCGUAAAGAGCUCGUAGGCGGUUCGGCAAGUCGGGUGUGAAAACUCCAGGCUCAACCUGGAGACGCCACCCGAUACUGCUGUGACUUGAGUCCGGUAGGGGACCACGGAAUUCCUGGUGUAGCGGUGAAAUGCGUAGAGAUCAGGAAGAACACCGGUGGCGAAGGCGGGUCUCUGGGCCGUAACUGACGCUGAGGAGCGAAAGCAUGGGGAGCGAACAGG
rnacentral:rRNA from 1 species